AUUAAGGUCCUCUGGAUUGUAAACUUCUUUUAUAUGGGACGAAAAAAGGUCUUUCUAGACCCCUUGACGGUACCAUAUGAAUAAGCACCGGCUAACUCCGUGCCAGCAGCCGCGGUAAUACGGAGGGUGCAAGCGUUAUCCGGAUUCACUGGGUUUAAAGGGUGCGUAGGCGGGCAGGUAAGUCAGUGGUGAAAUCCUGGAGCUCAACUCCAGAACUGCCAUUGAUACUAUCUGUCUUGAAUAUUGUGGAGGUAAGCGGAAUAUGUCAUGUAGCGGUGAAAUGCUUAGAUAUGACAUAGAACACCCAUUGCGAAGGCAGCUUACUACGCAUAUAUGACGC
rnacentral:rRNA from 1 species